rnacentral:lncRNA from 1 species
UGCUUUUAAGAAUGGAGUGCAGUGUUGCCAGAUUAGGCGGUUUCCCACAUUUUCCAUGAUUUUCGCGACCGUUACAAACUCCCCCUUUCGGCGAGUUUUGGAUUGUUUUUAGGCUGGAAUCAGUCAGCUACAUCUGGCAACACUGAUGGAGCGGCAGUUGUGAGGAAGAAGUGUGGCGUGCGCGCCAAGCAGACAACACCGAUCAGACAAUGCAGACAAAUUAAGAAAGGAUGUGCAGUCGGGAAUACCUACAGCAGGUGCUAAUGCUGGGUAACAGCUACCGUAGCUGUGUCCAG